GGUAUUUGAAAAGUCACAGCAGUAUGUAAAGCGUUUCAGCCGCUAUAAAAAUCCCGAUGCUGUUAGAGACAAGUUUGAGAAAUUCUCGCAAGAUAUCAAUUGGCUGAGUUUGAGUUGUGUGUCCUUGGCAACCUUUGCCUAGAAACUGUGGAGGAAGCUAUUGCUAUGGUUCCAUCUAUCGAGUCAAGAGGACGGGCUCAAGAUGAUGAAGCAAUCGAGAAAAUGUUAAAUGACUUGUCUUUGAUUAAGAAAUUUGAAUAAAUACGCCAGAGUGUGUGAUACAAUGCUUGUUGGUACCGUAUAACAUAUCACUUGACUGCAAGCAAACAUUCUUGUGGUUUGUAUUACAGAAAUGCUUGGUAAUUAUAUUUAGUUUAUUUUGUGAGUUUUAUCAAGAAGGACUUU